UACGUAGGGGGCAAGCGUUAUCCGGAUUUACUGGGUGUAAAGGGGGCGCAGACGGCGAUGCAAGCCAGGAGUGAAAGCCCGGGGCCCAACCCCGGGACUGCUCUUGGAACUGUGUGGCUGGAGUGCAGGAGGGGCAGGCGGAAUUCCUGGUGUAGCGGUGAAAUGCGUAGAUAUCAGGAGGAACACCGGUGGCGAAGGCGGCCUGCUGGACUGCAACUGACGUUGAGGCCCGAAAGCGUGGGGAGCAAACAGG
rnacentral:rRNA from 1 species